rnacentral:tRNA from 4 species
GCCCACGUAGCCCAAUCGGCAGGAGGCGGCUCUCUCAAAAAGAGUACAGUGGCGGUUCGAAUCCGCUCGUGGGUAC